rnacentral:miRNA from 1 species
GUACUUACAAAGCCACGCUUGUCAGUGUAGACAGUGGUUGGGAAGGACGGAGUCAGGUAGCAGUCCAUAGGCCCUUUCUUAGCACUGCUCAGGGCUUUCAAGUUGCA